GACGAACGCUGGCGGCGUGCUUAACACAUGCAAGUCGAACGGAAAGGCCCUGCUUGCAGGGUACUCGAGUGGCGAACGGGUGAGUAACACGUGGGUGAUCUGCCCUGCACUUCGGGAUAAGCCUGGGAAACUGGGUCUAAUACCGGAUAGGAGCCAUUUUUAGUGUGAUGGUUGGAAAGUUUUUUCGGUGUAGGAUGAGCUCGCGGCCUAUCAGCUUGUUGGUGGGGUAAUGGCCUACCAAGGCGGCGACGGGUAGCCGGCCUGAAAGGGUGGACGGCCACAUUGGGACUGAGAUACGGCCCAGACUCCUACGGGAGGCAGCAGUGGGGAAUAUUGCACAAUGGGCGCAAGCCUGAUGCAGCGACGCCGCGUGGGGGAUGACGGCCUUCGGGUUGUAAACUCCUUUCGCUAGGGACGAAGCUUUUUGUGACGGUACCUAGAUAAGAAGCACCGGCUAACUACGUG
rnacentral:rRNA from 1 species